CUAAACAGAACCAGUUCAAAGACUCUCAGUAAACAACUUCAAGUUACAGUCUUUUCACCUAAUCUCUACCCGUGUGACUUCUACCUAAGAACUCUUAGAUAUGAGAUCCUACUCACUCCCCCUCAAUCACAGCAGUGAUAUAGAAACAAGAAUUACAAUGAAAAGAAGACACUUUUCAAAGAUACAUACUUGAUCUUACUUAAA
rnacentral:lncRNA from 1 species